UACGUAGGGGGCAAGCGUUGUCCGGAUUUAUUGGGCGUAAAGAGCGUGUAGGCGGCCAGGUAGGUCUGCCGUGAAAACUCGAGGCUUAACCUCGAGCUGUCGGCGGAAACCAUCUGGCUAGAGUCCGGAAGAGGAGAAUGGAAUUCCCGGUGUAGCGGUGAAAUGCGCAGAUAUCAGGAGGAACACCGGUGGCGAAGGCGGAUCUCUGGGCCCGUCCUGACGCUGAGGCGCGAAAGCUAGGGGAGCGAACAGG
rnacentral:rRNA from 1 species